rnacentral:rRNA from 1 species
AGUGAACGUUGGCGGCGUGGAUUAGGCAUGCAAGUCGAGCGAGAACCGUAGCAAUACGGGGACAGCGGCGAACGGGACAGUAAUGUGUAGGUACCUACUCCCGGGUUCGGGAUAGCUGCGGGAAACUGCAGGUAAUACCGAAUAAUGUCUUCGGACCAAGGGUGUGAUUCCACCUGGGGAGGGGCCUGCAUCCUAUUAGCUUGUUGGGGGGGUAACGGCUUACCAAGGCGACGAUGGGUAGCGGGUGUGAGAGCAUGACCCGCGUCAUUGGGACUGAGACACUGCCCAGACACCUGCGGGUGGCUGCAGUCGGGGAUGUUCGGCAAUGGGCGCAAGGCUGACCGAGCGACGCCGCGUGCGGGAUGAAGGCCUUCGGGUUGUAAACCGCUGUCGUAGAGGAGGAAAUGCAGGAGGGUUCUCCCUUCUGUUUGACCUAUUCUAGGAGGAAGUACGGGCUAAGUUCGUGCCAGCCGCCGCGGUAA